AAUGAAUUGCCUGAUAAAAGGAUUACCUUGAUAGGGUAAAUAAUACGAUAAAAUCGUAUUCAUUA
rnacentral:tRNA from 1 species